CCAACCUCCCCUCCACUUUCCCUCUUCCUCUCCUGAAGCCAAUCCCCCUCCCCCUCUCGAUCGUGCCCCUGGCGAGGGAGUAGCGCGGCGUCCCCCAACGAGCGGCGGCCCCAGUGGGGGAGCAGUGGCCUCGGGCAAGGGAGCCUGCUGCGACGGCCUCCGAUGAGGGUGCUGCGCGCGCAUGGUGGCAGCCCGUACCCAUGGAGAUGGAGCGGCGCGGCGUCCCCUGCGAGCCUCCCUUCCCUCGGGGAGCAGCGGCCCUGGGCGAGGGCGCCUGGUGCGGCAGCCUCCGAUGAGAGGGUGCGCAUGGUGGAAGCCCGUGCCCCUGACGGGGGAGCGACGCGGCGUGGCGAAGGUCGGCGAGGACGAGAUCACGAGGAGGAGGUGCUGGGGCACGGGCACACGUCGAAGAAGCGGUCCAUCACCAACCUCUUCACGGCAGUGCUGGCCGUGGAUGGACCCGUCGCCGCUGAGGAUGAGGCGGAAGUCCAAGGAGAUGUGCGGAGGCGGCGGCGGACGAGCUGGAAUCAUCGGCAGCGGCCGAGCGGCUCCUUCCGGCGCGGACUCGACAGAGCGUGCAGACCAAGGCAGCGAUGGGGGGAUCCGCAUCGCGCCGCCGAAGGAGCGAGCCUGCUUCCGCCACGGCUCUCCGACGACAACGUCACCCUAGACAUCAUCAGUGUAGUGCUUUGUCCCCUACACCCCCCACCCCCUCCCCCAUCGUUCAUACCGUGAUUCUAGCAGUUCUGGUGGCUCGCUGCCGAUGCCCCACGACGAUGGGUCUUCCUCCUCCUCUUCCUCCCCAUCUCACUCUCUCAGGUAUGGAUGGCGUUAAGGUUUGGGGAUUUGGGUGAGGGUUAGGCAUGGAGAGACCAGUCUGCUUCUAGUAUCAGGCAAUGUGCAUAUCUCAAAUUAACCUCGUCAGGUCAUGUGUAGUUGGUCAAUCCUGGUGCUGUGAUUGAUCCCGUCAUGAAACAAUUUUGAAGCGAAUUCAGUGUCUGCACUUGAUUAAUUCAGUGUGCGUUUGUCAACUCAUGCACAGCUUCGUGCUUCCCCUAAUUUGGAACAUAUUACUUGAUUUCUCUUGGCAUGAAAAUUAGUAGGUGCAUGCUAUUAAUAGUUCAUCAAUGAGGUGUGGAUUUAAACAUGCCCUUGUCUUUGAUCUAGACAUUUUGGUAUUUGUUCAUUUUUGCUAUUGCUGUUUGUUCAUCUUAUAUGGAUAUGAUAGUAGUAGGGACCGAACGACAUAUUAGAAAUAGUUUCUUAGCACGAAUAUGGCCGAAGAUGUGUGCUGCUUGUCGCCACCAUAUUCGUGAUGCUGCCACUUGUGUUUAAGAUAGGUAAAGUAUUGUUAGUAGUCAGGCAAAGUACUAUUAUUAUUUAGGCAAAGUUUUAUAUUUAGUUAGGCAAAUUAUUAUUAUUAGUCAUGCAAAGUACUGUUAUUAGAAAGGCACUUUGAUCUUGAUAUUGUUUUUGUUCGAUUGGAAUCUCCUGCAUUUCCUGUAGUUUCUCAUCUCCAUUUCAAGCUAAUAGGAAUAACAUGAGUGCAUCAUCUCUUCUUUGAUAGGGUCAGCACAAUAGUGGCAGCACUUGUUUUGCCGCCGCAACACUAGCAGCAUGGAUGUGCACUUUAGAUUUUUUAGAGAUUUGAUACAAUGCAUCUCGGACAGAAGUGGCAGCAUGGAUGUGCUCCACCAUCCAAUGUGUUUUUUUCAAACACACACCAAUUACUGUGUCAAGAGCACAGAAGCACAACAAGUCUUGGUGUGAUAUCAUCUGAUGCAGUAUGUUUUUUCCUCCACCUUCUUUUACUGCAAUUCUAUUAUAUGGUUCUUAGUUAGACAAUUAUUCCUUUUAGCAGAGGCAAAUUAAUGCAUCUCAUUAGGCAAUUUCCUUGAACAUUUAAUUUACAUUACCCCAAGUCAUGUUCAGGUUAAAAAUGCCCUACCUCAUAAUUGUUGUCAUUAGAUUCAGCAACUGACUUGCAUUUUUUUGCUUUUCAUCCCAUACCCUUCUUUGUUGUAAAUAAACAAAAGUUUUCUACUCUUCCCAUGUUAAACCCAGGAGGCGUGAGGUUACUGUACCAAUUGAGAACCUAAUCCAUUUUGCAUAUGAGUUGUAGAACUCCCUCACCUCUUUACUUAGUGCAAAAUAUUUUGCCCAAUGUACGGCAUCGUAGCUUUUUGACCAAAUCUCUACCACAAUUUGCUACAUCUUAGGUUUUAUCAGCAAUUGCCUCCACAUCCAAGGUGCUUUCAGCUAGAUUGUUGCCAACGUAGCUAAAUUAUUGCUAACAGAAACUACAUCAUUGAAAACUGUAGCUAGCUCUUGAUUUGGAAUAUGCUCAAUAUCAUGUACUUCUCCCUUUUCCAACUACAUGAGAGCAUUUUUUUACAUGUAUCAAAAGCAAUUAAAUGUGAAUCAUCAGGCAAUAAUGUACUAUUUAAUAGGUAGAUUAGUUGUUUUUUCCAGACGUUUUCUGUAUGCCAACUUUUACUAGUUUGUUCAGCACCACAAUCUAUCUAAUCAAGCUUGUUUCCAUUCAACCAGGCUCUGCAAUAGUGGAUUCAAAUCAGUUGUUCUAUAUUAGUAGAUUCUACAACAACACAUCUGUCCAGAUUAUUACAUGCGAUGUUUAUUUUCUAUGAUGUAGCAACUUUUUUGAUAUCCAAGAGCAGUUGUUUUUGCAUCUAAA